rnacentral:misc_RNA from 1 species
CCACACACAAAUUCCAAUGGAACUAUUACUAAACAUGAUAUAGAAGAAACAACAGCAAAAUCAAGGUUGUCUGGAAUCUGCAGUAGUAGCUCAUGCACCGGAUGUACCAACAGCAACUGUUUUACAAGCUUGACUGGAAUCUGCAGCAGCAGUUGGAGCUCAAGCAGUAAUGGAAGUACCAGUAACAGCAGCAUUUUUUCAAGCUUGACUGGAAUCUGUAGCAGCACUAGGAGCUCGAGCAGUAAUGGAAGCACUGGCAGCAUCAGCGUUUUCCCAAGCUUGUCUGGAAUAUGUAGCAAUAGUA